rnacentral:rRNA from 1 species
GACGAAGGUGGCGACCGUUGUUCGGAAUCACUGGGCAUAAAGAGCACGUAGGCGGUGAGGUAAGUCUGGUGUGAAAUCCCUCGGCCCAACCGAGGAACUGCGCCGGGUACUGCCUUGCUUGAGGACGGAAGGGGAGUGUGGAAUUCCUGGUGGAGCGGUGAAAUGCGUUGAUAUCAGGAGGAACACCGGCGGCGAAGGCGACACUCUGGUCCGUUUCUGACGCUGAGGUGCGAAAGCCAGGGGAGCAAACGGG